rnacentral:piRNA from 1 species
UUCAGCCUAAACGUUUUGCCAGGAACACU